rnacentral:lncRNA from 1 species
UUUCUGGGCAAAUUUUCAAAAUAGAGUUUUAAAAGUUAACCAGGAUGGUGCAGAAAAUAGCACUUAAAUAGGUUAACAGUAUCUGCUGACUCCUUUGUGUACAAAUAUAUCCUAUUAAUUUCAUUCCACAUAGUGUGGUAAAUAUGGUAAAAAUAUAUCUACAGCUUAAAAUUAAAUUGGCCUGGCUAAAACUUAGUCAUGAAAGAAAAAUGGAGACUCUGCCAAUUAUAGCAGAAUAAAAGAAACAGAAGUUUUGUAACAUUUAUGAAAUAUUUAAAUUCUGCUUUUGAGAGAUGAAAAAUGAAAACAAAAUACUUUCAAGGAAUGUGCAACUGACACAAUAUUUUUUUAAACAUGUAUUUACAUUAACUACAAUAAGGUUAACAGUCAAUACACUGAAUUUGAUACACUCUUAAUAGUAAGUUUAGUUCUAUUAACUGUGAAAUUUCUUUUGCUAGAAACUCCCACAUUUAGACAAAAAUGCACAUUCGACUUCAUUCUUGAGGGUAUUUGCCAAAUCACUUAAUACUCAUGUAGAAGUAUCCCGUCUUCAUUAAAUUAAUCUGUAACCUGGGUAUUCCUUCCGCUAGUACAACACAGAUACUAUUUGGCCUGUUUCUUAGUAAGAAAUCACUUUAGAGAAGAUGAAAAGAGUUGCCAAUAAAUAUUAUCUCUAUUUAUCUUUCCAUAGUUAAUUUUCAUUUGGGAAAAGCAACAGCCAAAGUAGCCACUUCUACGGGCUAUAAAACACCUCCAAAAAUUACUAGAGAUUCCCUACAGUUCUUUAUAGUUCUGUCCAGUAUAGCAACCCCACCAAGAUACUUCACAUCUUUAGGAUUCAGCUGUCUUAUAUGUUUAUUGGGAUAAAAUAACUACUCCCUCCAUCCCCUCCACCCUCAAGAGAAAAGUUAGAAUUAUAAUAAAAGCUCUUUGAGAGGAAAUAUAAAAAGCAGACUCUCUUUAAGUAGACCUCUUGCACAAGUUUCAGGCAUGGCUAUCAGCUCAAUCUAUGAAGGAGAUUAAACCUAAGUGUCUCAAAGAAAGACGUUUACAUCCUGCACCCAACCACCAAGUGAUGAUACGAGAGACAGAAAGAAGCUACCUAACGCUUUAACUUCCUGCGUGCGUCAAGGAAGCGUUCCUAAAGUACCUUGUUAAGUAAAUCCCAAGAGGGAUGAGACUGCACACCUGGCUCAGGAUUUACAUUCAUCACAGAGACUGUACCGGCCCUCGUAGGCUACAG